rnacentral:rRNA from 1 species
ACGGGGCUAAACCAUGCACCGAAGCUGCGGCAGCGACACUCAGGUGUUGUUGGGUAGGGGAGCGUUCUGUAAGCCUGCGAAGGUGGCCUGUGAGGGUUGCUGGAGGUAUCAGAAGUGCGAAUGCUGACAUAAGUAACGAUAAAGCGGGUGAAAAGCCCGCUCGCCGGAAGACCAAGGGUUCCUGUCCAACGUUAAUCGGGGCAGGGUGAGUCGACCCCUAAGGCGAGGCCGAAAGGCGUAGUCGAUGGGAAACGGGUUAAUAUUCCCGUACUUGGUGUUACUGCGAAGGGGGGACGGAGAAGGCUAUGUUGGCCGGGCGACGGUUGUCCCGGUUUAAGCGUGUAGGCUGGUUUUCCAGGCAAAUCCGGAAAAUCAAGGCUGAGGCGUGACGACGAGGCACUACGGUGCUGAAGCAACAAAUGCCCUGCUUCCAGGAAAAGCCUCUAAGCAUCAGGUAACACGAAAUCGUACCCCAAACCGACACAGGUGGUCAGGUAGAGAAUACCAAGGCGCUUGAGAGAACUCGGGUGAAGGAACUAGGCAAAAUGGUGCCGUAACUUCGGGAGAAGGCACGCUGACAUGUAGGUGAAGUGAUUUACUCAUGGAGCUGAAGUCAGUCGAAGAUACCAGCUGGCUGCAACUGUUUAUUAAAAACACAGCACUGUGCAAACACGAAAGUGGACGUAUACGGUGUGACGCCUGCCCGGUGCCGGAAGGUUAAUUGAUGGGGUCAGCGCAAGCGAAGCUCCUGAUCGAAGCCCCGGUAAACGGCGGCCGUAACUAUAACGGUCCUAAGGUAGCGAAAUUCCUUGUCGGGUAAGUUCCGACCUGCACGAAUGGCGUAAUGAUGGCCAGGCUGUCUCCACCCGAGACUCAGUGAAAUUGAACUCGCUGUGAAGAUGCAGUGUACCCGCGGCAAGACGGAAAGACCCCGUGAACCUUUACUAUAGCUUGACACUGAACAUUGAGCCUUGAUGUGUAGGAUAGGUGGGAGGCUUUGAAGUGUGGACGCCAGUCUGCAUGGAGCCGACCUUGAAAUACCACCCUUUAAUGUUUGAUGUUCUAACGUGGACCCGUGAUCCGGGUUGCGGACAGUGUCUGGUGGGUAGUUUGACUGGGGCGGUCUCCUCCUAAAGAGUAACGGAGGAGCACGAAGGUUGGCUAAUCCUGGUCGGACAUCAGGAGGUUAGUGCAAUGGCAUAAGCCAGCUUGACUGCGAGCGUGACGGCGCGAGCAGGUGCGAAAGCAGGUCAUAGUGAUCCGGUGGUUCUGAAUGGAAGGGCCAUCGCUCAACGGAUAAAAGGUACUCCGGGGAUAACAGGCUGAUACCGCCCAAGAGUUCAUAUCGACGGCGGUGUUUGGCACCUCGAUGUCGGCUCAUCACAUCCUGGGGCUGAAGUAGGUCCCAAGGGUAUGGCUGUUCGCCAUUUAAAGUGGUACGCGAGCUGGGUUUAGAACGUCGUGAGACAGUUCGGUCCCUAUCUGCCGUGGGCGCUGGAGAACUGAGGGGGGCUGCUCCUAGUACGAGAGGACCGGAGUGGACGCAUCACUGGUGUUCGGGUUGUCAUGCCAAUGGCACUGCCCGGUAGCUAAAUGCGGAAGAGAUAAGUGCUGAAAGCAUCUAAGCACGAAACUUGCCCCGAGAUGAGUUCUCCCUGAGACUUUAGGUCUCCUGAAGGAACGUUGAAGACGACGACGUUGAUAGGCCGGGUGUGUAAGCGCAGCGAUGCGUUGAGCUAACCGGUACUAAUGAACCGUGAGGCUUAACCUUACA